rnacentral:ncRNA from 2 species
UUAAUAUCAAGAGUGCAGCGAGGGACCUAGCCCUGUGACCUGCCAGCAACCCUUUAAGUUGGGUGCUACAUCUAGCUUCGAUUUUAUCGAAGAAGAUAUUUG